rnacentral:antisense_RNA from 1 species
CUCUACGGUGGAACGGAGGGGGACACCUUCGGGUGUGCUGGCCUCGUUUGACCAGUCUGCGAACCCCUUUCGUUCUGCCACCAUA